ACACAUGCAGUCGAGCGGCAGCACAAGUGAGUUUACUCAUGAGGUGGCGAGCGGCGGACGGGUGAGUAAUGCCUAGGGAUCUGCCCAGUCGAGGGGGAUAACAGUUGGAAACGACUGCUAAUACCGCAUACGCCCUACGGGGGAAAGGAGGGGACCUUCGGGCCUUCCACGAUUGGAUGAACCUAGGUGGGAUUAGCUAGUUGGUGAGGUAAUGGCUCACCAAGGCGACGAUCCCUAGCUGUUCUGAGAGGAUGAUCAGCCACACUGGGACUGAGACACGGCCCAGACUCCUACGGGAGGCAGCAGUGGGGAAUAUUGCACAAUGGGGGAAACCCUGAUGCAGCCAUGCCGCGUGUGUGAAGAAGGCCU
rnacentral:rRNA from 1 species